UACGUAGGUGGCGAGCGUUGUCCGGAUUUACUGGGCGUAAAGGGAGCGUAGGCGGACUUUUAAGUGAGAUGUGAAAUACCCGGGCUCAACUUGGGUGCUGCAUUUCAAACUGGAAGUCUAGAGUGCAGGAGAGGAGAAUGGAAUUCCUAGUGUAGCGGUGAAAUGCGUAGAGAUUAGGAAGAACACCAGUGGCGAAGGCGAUUCUCUGGACUGUAACUGACGCUGAGGCUCGAAAAGCGUGGGGAGCAAACAGG
rnacentral:rRNA from 1 species